AUCCAUCUGACGAGUCUCAAAUAGGACGAAACGCGCAUCCUGGAU
rfam:Schistosoma mansoni, Puerto Rico, WGS project CABG01000000 data, contig: 0071